rnacentral:rRNA from 1 species
GACGAACGCUGGCGGCGUGCCUAAUACAUGCAAGUCGAGCGGACCGACGGGAGCUUGCUCCCUUAGGUCAGCGGCGGACGGGUGAGUAACACGUGGGUAACCUGCCUGUAAGACUGGGAUAACUCCGGGAAACCGGGGCUAAUACCGGAUGCUUGAUUGAACCGCAUGGUUCAAUCAUAAAAGGUGGCUUUUAGCUACCACUUACAGAUGGACCCGCGGCGCAUUAGCUAGUUGGUGAGGUAACGGCUCACCAAGGCGACGAUGCGUAGCCGACCUGAGAGGGUGAUCGGCCACACUGGGACUGAGACACGGCCCAGACUCCUACGGGAGGCAGCAGUAGGGAAUCUUCCGCAAUGGACGAAAGUCUGACGGAGCAACGCCGCGUGAGUGAUGAAGGUUUUCGGAUCGUAAAACUCUGUUGUUAGGGAAGAACAAGUACCGUUCGAAUAGGGCGGUACCUUGACGGUACCUAACCAGAAAGCCACGGCUAACUACGUGCCAGCAGCCGCGGUAAUACGUAGGUGGCAAGCGUUGUCCGGAAUUAUUGGGCGUAAAGCGCGCGCAGGCGGUUUCUUAAGUCUGAUGUGAAAGCCCCCGGCUCAACCGGGGAGGGUCAUUGGAAACUGGGGAACUUGAGUGCAGAAGAGGAGAGUGGAAUUCCACGUGUAGCGGUGAAAUGCGUAGAGAUGUGGAGGAACACCAGUGGCGAAGGCGACUCUCUGGUCUGUAACUGACGCUGAGGCGCGAAAGCGUGGGGAGCGAACAGGAUUAGAUACCCUGGUAGUCCACGCCGUAAACGAUGAGUGCUAAGUGUUAGAGGGUUUCCGCCCUUUAGUGCUGCAGCAAACGCAUUAAGCACUCCGCCUGGGGAGUACGGUCGCAAGACUGAAACUCAAAGGAAUUGACGGGGGCCCGCACAAGCGGUGGAGCAUGUGGUUUAAUUCGAAGCAACGCGAAGAACCUUACCAGGUCUUGACAUCCUCUGACAACCCUAGAGAUAGGGCUUCCCCUUCGGGGGCAGAGUGACAGGUGGUGCAUGGUUGUCGUCAGCUCGUGUCGUGAGAUGUUGGGUUAAGUCCCGCAACGAGCGCAACCCUUGAUCUUAGUUGCCAGCAUUCAGUUGGGCACUCUAAGGUGACUGCCGGUGACAAACCGGAGGAAGGUGGGGAUGACGUCAAAUCAUCAUGCCCCUUAUGACCUGGGCUACACACGUGCUACAAUGGGCAGAACAAAGGGCAGCGAAGCCGCGAGGCUAAGCCAAUCCCACAAAUCUGUUCUCAGUUCGGAUCGCAGUCUGCAACUCGACUGCGUGAAGCUGGAAUCGCUAGUAAUCGCGGAUCAGCAUGCCGCGGUGAAUACG